UACGGAGGAUGCGAGCGUUAUCCGGAUUUAUUGGGUUUAAAGGGUGCGUAGGCUGAUAUUUAAGUCAGUGGUGAAAUAUUCCGGCUCAACCGGGAGGCUGCCAUUGAUACUGGAUAUCUGGAGUGUAAGCGAAGUGGGCGGAAUGUGGAGUGUAGCGGUGAAAUGCAUAGAUAUUCCACAGAACACCGAUAGCGAAGGCAGCUCACUAGUAUACAACUGACGCUGAGGCACGAAAGCGUGGGGAG
rnacentral:rRNA from 1 species